UUCUCUCCUCGUUCCUCCCAUUCCCACGCUUAACCAGUUGGGAACUUUGCUAAUCUUCUCACCAACUGCAGAAGGAAAGGCUUUUUAACGACAUUAUACAAUUACAUCAUAGUUGGUUCCAAUUAUAACUUGCCUCAAGCCAACGCCUCCAUUCGUAUUUCAUUUUGGCUGGAAAUGUGUUUAACAAUGGCCUACAACAAUUUAUGUAGGUCGAAGAAGGUGGAAAGCAAAGUAUAAUACCCAACAUGAAAAAAUGUCCCGACCAUUCGAGAAGCACGGGAAUGCCUACCUGCAAAGCAAAACCAAAGUACAACUCCUCUUUAACUGUAAUAAUAAUGGGUGUUGAACAUCUUGCUGUGACUACCGGAUGAUGUUAGAUAAUGACGAAAUGUUCAAUAGCGAUAAAAUUGAAUAGUAUUAAGAAUGAAAAAGAGUUAAACUCUUGUUUACUAUAUUGUGUAAUUUUGUCGAAUUCAAAAGAAUGAGAAAUUAGUGAUGGGUCUGUUGUU